rnacentral:pre_miRNA from 1 species
UUCUAAUGGUGUUGAUGAUGAUGACGAUGACCAUGAAGAUGAUCAUUGCCAUCAUCAUUAUCAUCAUCAUCAUCAUCAUCAUCAUCAUCAUCAUCA